UUGGAACUUCAGCUGAAAAUCCCUCGGAAAUUCUUGCAGAUCCGUUUCUCCUCUUGCCUUCAUUGACGGUAAUGUAUUCUCUUAAAAGUAAGAAGGUCCUCUCUCGUUAAACCCUGACUUAUUGUCUUUAUAUCUAGUGUAAAGCCUUUGUUUCAGAGUCCAAAUAGGCUUGUAAGUCCUCUUAGAAUGAGUGACAAAGAAAGGAAAGUCGAAUUGAGAUUCUUGUCUAGAGUCAUUACAUAGCCCGUGUAGUGUUGCACAGGUUUGCCCAUGAAACUGCUUAGACCUCAAAUUUUCAGCUUUUUUGUAGCUCAGAAGUUUAUACAGGGCAAGGAAAAUUGCUCGAAUCUAG
rnacentral:misc_RNA from 1 species